rnacentral:rRNA from 1 species
GCGCAGCAGUCGCGAAAACUUCGCAAUACGCGCAAGCGUGACGAGGGAACCCCAAGUACUCCUGCUUUUUGCAGGAGUUUUUGCCAAGUGUAGACAGCUUGGAGAAUAAGGGCGGGGUAAGGCCGGUGCCAGCCGCCGCGGUAAUACCGGCCGCCCGAGUAGUGACCACUAUUAUUGGGCCUAAAGCGUCCGUAGCCGGUUUUGUAAGUUUCUGGGUAAAUCCCACAGCUUAACUGCGGGGAUUCCAGAAAUACUGCAGAGCUAGGGGCCGGGAGACGCAGAAGGUACUCCUGGGGUAGGGGUGAAAUCCUAUAAUCCUUGGGGGACCACCGGUGGCGAAGGCGUCCCACUGGAACGGCCCUGACGGUGAGGAACGAAACCUAGGGGAGCGAGCCGGAUUAGAUACCCGGGUAGUCC